GACGAACGCUGGCGGCGUGCUUAACACAUGCGAGUCGAACGGAAAGGCCCUGCUUUUGUGGGGUGCUCGAGUGGCGAACGGGUGAGUAUCACGUGAGUAACCUGCCCUUGACUUUGGGAUAACUUCAGGAAACUGGGGCUAAUACCGGAUAGGAGCUCCUGCUGCAUGGUGGGGGUUGGAAAGUUUCGGCGGUUGGGGAUGGACUCGCGGCUUAUCAGCUUGUUGGUGGGGUAGUGGCUUACCAAGGCUUUGACGGGUAGCCGGCCUGAGAGGGUGACCGGCCACAUUGGGACUGGGAUACGGCCCAGACUCCUACGGGGGGCAGCAGUGGGGAAUAUUGCACAAUGGGCGGAAGCCUGAUGCAGCAACGCCGCGUGCGGGAUGACGGCCUUCGGGUUGUAAACCGCUUUCGCCUGUGACGAAGCGUGAGUGACGGUAAUGGGUAAAGAAGCACCGGCUAACUACGU
rnacentral:rRNA from 1 species